rnacentral:sRNA from 1 species
GUAAUCGAGAAGGCCGCACAUAUACCUA